rnacentral:rRNA from 4 species
CAUCACGACUCUCGGCAACGGAUAUCUCGGCUCUCGCAUCGAUGAAGAACGUAGCAAAAUGCGAUACGUGGUGUGAAUUGCAGGAUCCCGUGAACCAUCGAGUUUUUGAACGCAAGUUGCGCCCGAAGCCUUUAGGCCGAGGGCACGUCUGCCUGGGCGUCACGC